rnacentral:tRNA from 1 species
ACCUGACUGGCUCAGUUGGUAGAGCAUAUGACUCUUGAUCUCGGGGUUGUGAGUUCAAGACCCGUGUUGGGUA